GUUACAGAAGAGUUAAGGAAAAAAAUCCAAGAAUAUCAAAAGCACCACAGAAAUGUAGACAUAGCAGCCACCAUCACCAGUGUCACCAUUACAGCUAGAGCUACGAUCCCACUGUGUGAUGCUAAAAGGAAAGAAGAAGCAGAAGAAAAGUUCUAUAACAAUGAAAGAAAGUAACGUCAUAAAAAUAGAUGCAGAAAACAUUUUAGCUUCAGUAUUUCUGAUAAAAAUAUAAAUGUAUCACAUAGUAGAAUUUACCUUUUACUGUUUGCACUGUUGCAAA